rnacentral:lncRNA from 1 species
GCAUGGGCUAUGCUGGAGGAGAGCGGCAAGCGGCAGAGGCGGUGAAACUGCCGAGAGUGUUGAAGCAAUGGGAUAGCGAAGGGAUAGCGUAAGACAUCCGCACCACGCUCCUCUCUUCAAGGACUACUCUACACAAAAUAUUUAGCAUUUCUAUCCAGUGGUGCAAAAGAGUUAAAAGGACGCAAGGAACUGUGCUGAUACUGUAAGCCCAUGGAUGUGGAACAAAAAACAGGACCCACAGGGAAACUCACCCAUUGGUCGUAUCCAAC